rnacentral:rRNA from 1 species
AGUGAACGCUGGCGGUAGGCCUAACACAUGCAAGUCGAACGGCAGCACAGUAAGAGCUUGCUCUUACGGGUGGCGAGUGGCGGACGGGUGAGGAAUACAUCGGAAUCUACUUUUUCGUGGGGGUUAACGUAGGGAAACUUACGCUAAUACCGCAUACGACCUACGGGUGAAAGCAGGGGAUCUUCGGACCUUGCGCGGAUGAAUGAGCCGAUGUCGGAUUUGCUAGUUGGCGGGGUAAAGGCCCACCAAGGCGACGAUCCGUAGCUGGUCUGAGAGAAUGAUCAGCCACACUGGAACUGAGACACGGUCCAGACUCCUACGGGAGGCAGCAGUGGGGAAUAUUGGACAAUGGGCGCAAGCCUGAUCCAGCCAUACCGCGUGGGUGAAGAAGGCCUUCGGGUUGUAAAGCCCUUUUGUUGGGAAAGAAAAGCAGCAGGUUAAUACCCCGCUGUUCUGACGGUACCCAAAGAAUAAGCACCGGCUAACUUCGUG